rnacentral:rRNA from 1 species
AGAAGGCGUAGCCGAUGGACAUCCGGUUGAAAUUCCGGACCUUGGUGCAGUAGUGAUGGAGGGACGCUUCUUGAUGUUUCAUCCCACACCGUUGGUUGUUGUGGGCUACCGGGAUAACCCAGCUGUUUAAUAGAUGGCUUUUCAAAGGGUGGGGCCGGGGGGAAGGGAUUGCUUCGGCAUGAACGAACUGGGACUGAGGGGGCCGAGAAAAGCUUCUAAACUUAUACUGCAUCAAACCGUACUGCAAACCGACACAGGUAGGUGAGUCGAGGAGACUAAGGCGUUCGAGAGAACUCUCGUUAAGGAACUAGGCAAACGAGCCCCGUAACUUUGGAAGAAGGGGCGCCCCGCAAGGGGCCGCAGCGAAGCAGCCCAGGCGACUGUUUACCAAAAACACAGGUCUCUGCUAAGGCGAAAGCCGAAGUAUAGGGGCUGACGCCUGCCCAAUGCUCGUAGAUUAAGGGGAGAUGUUAGGGGUAACCCAAAGCAUUGAACUGAAGUCCGAGUGAAUGGCGGCCGUAACUCUAACGGUCCUAAGGUAGCGAAAUUCCUUGUCGGCUAAAUACCGACCCGCAUGAAAGGCGUAACGACUUGGGCACUGUCUCAACGAGAAAUCCGGUGAAUUUGUAGCACCCGUGAAGAUGCGGGUUCCCCGCAGUAGGACGGAAAGACCCCGUGGAGCUUUACUACACCUUCAGAUUGUGAAUUGGAUGUAGAUGUAGAGCGUAGGUGGGAGCUUCGGCACCAAUGGAACACCACCCUUCUAUAUCUGGUUUACUAACCUGCACCGUUAUCCGGUGUGGAAACAGUCUGUGGCGGGUAGUUUGACUGGGGCGGUCGCCUCCCAAAAUGUAACGGAGGCGUACAAAGUUGCACUCAGCCUGGUCGGAAAUCAGGCGCUGAGCGUAUAGGUAUAUAGUGCGAUUGACUGUGAGACCAACAAGUCGAGCAGGUACGAAAGUAGGUCUAAGUGACCCUCUGAUUGUGCGUGGGUACGUCAGGGUUCAACGGAUAAAAGUUACCCCGGGGAUAACAGGCUGAUCUUGCCCGAGCGCUCACAGCGACGGCAUGGUUUGGCACCUCGAUGUCGGCUCGUCUCAUCCUGGGGCUGUAUCAGGUCCCAAGGGUUCCGGAGUUCACGGAUUAAAGAGGCACGCGAGCUGGGUUCAGAACGGCGUGAGCCAGUUCGGUCCCUAUCCACUGCGGGCGUAGGAAAUUUGAGGGGACACGCUCUUAGUACGAGAGGACCGGAGUGUACUGACCUCUGGUGUACCAGUUGUGCCGACAGGCGCAGACGCUGGGUAGCCACGUCGGGCAGCGAUAAGCGCUGAAAGCAUCUAAGCGCCAAGCGCACCCCAAGAUGAGAUUUCCCACUUCGAGGUAAGGACCCAUGAAGACUACAUGGUGAUAGGCCAGGUGUGUAAGCACAGUAAUGUGUUGAGCUGACUGGUACUAAUUGUCCGAGGGCUUGAUAAA